UUCAUGCAAAUGGAACCAUAUGCUAUUGGGUCUUCUUUUUCUUAGCAUGGACUUCAGCCCUUUUUGUGACUGAAUAAUACUCAGAGCAGCAAAGCCAAGCAGUCUCCUCCCAGCCAGGUGCUGAGCAUGUCAUCAACUACUCUUUCUAGAGGCUAAGUCUAGACUGCACCAUUCCUGUCCUGGGGACAGCCACCAGCCCAAAGCCCAAGGCUGAAGGACACAUCACGUCACUUGCUCAGGUGACACUGUUCCCAGGAUGGACUGACUUUAGUCUCAAGGAUGACACACAGACCAGACACCAUCCCGGGGCUCAAAUUCCUCUUCUUCUCUUCUUGAGAACACAGCUGUAAAUCACAAUGACAACACCAACAGUAAUCCUCACGACAAGUGUCACAAGCACAUUUUGAGCCAGGAACUGCUCUAGGCUCUUCCCGUCCAGCCAUCCAUCAUCGCCAACCUUACAACAGCCUUGAAGGAAGGGAACUGUCUCUGCUUUCAACAGGGAGGAAAUUGAGACUCACAGGGCUUUCUCUUUCUUGUUACCUGGAAUGCAGACAUGAUGGCUGGAACUUCAGGGACCAUAGCAGACCAUAUGGAGACCUUAGGUAUGGAAGCCACAAACUGAGAAUGCAGAGCAAAAAGUUAAACGCUGGUUUUUCUCAAGACAACGACCUUGGGCGCACCAUACUAACCUCUUUUAUAUCUAAUGGAAAAAUAAAUCCCUAUCUUGUGAGGAAAAAUAAAUCCCUAUCUUGUUAAAGCCUG